GUUAAUUCUCGCCUCACUGCUGUCUGGUUUGCUCCCAGCAUGCAGCCUGUGCACGUGCAGAUGUGGAAGAUACCCGGAUAUGUUUUCAGCACCAUUUAGUAUGUGAGGAAGCACCUCACGGAUGGGAGAAAAGUGGAUUUCUAUGUCACCACUCAAGCCCAACAUGUUGGAGACAACACUUUUCUUUAGAAAAAACAACCCACCAAGACGGUACGAUGCCUGCCUUCAAGAGUGCAUGUGCAUGGAUGCUGUGUCACCAUGUGAUGCCAUCUGUCACAUUCUGAAACAACAAAAAAGACCUCACCAGAUGUGGCCCUUUCAUCUUGGACUUCCCAGCCUCCAGAACUGUGAGUCAAAUAAACUUCUAUUCUGUAUGAAUUACCCAAUCAGUGAUAAAUUCUGUUAUGUAGCACAAGAUAGACUAAGGAAGGUGUAUAACUUCUCCGAGAUCAUAUAACUCGCAAAAAGUACAAUCAGGCCUCAAACCCAGGUCUGUAUGAUAUUAAAGGCAAUGGUUUUAUUCUUGUUCUGAGAAUUCCUGAGACUGUCUACACUCUUGUUUGGUCUUUAGGGCUGGGGUUGAUUUGUGGGAAGCAAUGUCUAGAGAACAUGUUAGAAUAAAUUUCAUGAAAUUGCACA
rnacentral:lncRNA from 1 species